GAGGGUAGAGCUCAGUGGUAAAGCACAUGCUCACCAUGCACGAGGUCCUGGGUUCAAUCCCCAGAACCUUCA
rnacentral:tRNA from 1 species